rnacentral:rRNA from 1 species
UCCAGACUCCUACGGGAGGCAGCAGUAGGGAAUAUUGCACAAUGGGGGAAACCCUGAUGCAGCAACGCCGCGUGAGUGAAGAAGUAUUUCGGUAUGUAAAGCUCUAUCAGCAGGGAAGAAGAAGGACGGUACCUGACUAAGAAGCCCCGGCUAACUACGUGCCAGCAGCCGCGGUAAUACGUAGGGGGCGAGCGUUAUCCGGAUUCACUGGGUGUAAAGGGAGCGUAGACGGCGACGCAAGUCUGGAGUGAAAGCCCGGGGCCCAACCCCGGGACUGCUCUGGAAACUGCGGCGCUGGAGUACGGGAGGGGCAGGCGGAAUUCCUGGUGUAGCGGUGAAAUGCGUAGAUAUCAGGAAGAACACCAGUGGCGAAGGCGGCUUUCUGGACUGAAACUGACGCUGAGGCACGAAAGCGUGGGGAGCGAACAGGAUUAGAUACCCGCGUAA